rnacentral:rRNA from 1 species
UACGUAGGGUGCAAGCGUUAAUCGGAAUUACUGGGCGUAAAGCGUGCGCAGGCGGUGAUGUAAGUCAGCUGUGAAAUCCCCGGGCUCAACCUGGGAACUGCAUCUGUGACUGCAUCGCUGGAGUGCGGCAGAGGGGGAUGGAAUUCCGCGUGUAGCAGUGAAAUGCGUAGAUAUGCGGAGGAACACCGAUGGCGAAGGCAAUCCCCUGGGCCUGCACUGACGCUCAUGCACGAAAGCGUGGGGAGCAAACAGG